rnacentral:lncRNA from 1 species
AAAAAGGCCCAAAUAAGCAUUUUCUUGGUUUUCGCACUAUAACUUUAGUUUAAGUUAAUAGAAAUCUAUGAAAUUUUGACACAAGGUUUUUGACCCCAAAAGAACGGUUGGGAUUGAUUUUGGGAGUUUUGGUUUCAACAGUUUAGGAAUUAGGGGCCAAAAAGGGCCCAAAUAAGCAUUAUUCUUGGUUUUCGCACAAUAACUUUAGUUUAAGUAAAUAGAAAUCAAUGAAAUUUAAACACAAUGUUAAUGACUACAAAAGGAAGGUUGGUAUUGAUUUUGGGAGUUUAGGUCCCAACAGUUUAGGAAUUAGGGGCCAAAAAGGGAC